UCAGGAUGAACGCGGGCGGCGUGUUUUAUACAUGCAAGUCGAACGGAGAGUAUUAAUACUCUUACUGGCGAACGGGUGAGUAACACGUACAUGACCUGCCCCGACCAGCGGGAUAACUGUUCGAAAGGACUGCUUGUACCGCACGAAUUUCAUCGAGUUAAAUAGGCUGAUCAAAAGGGAGGCACAAGCUUCCUCUUUGGGAGGGGUCUGCGUCCCAUCAGCUAGUUGGUGAGGUAAAAGCCCACCAAGGCGACGUCGGGUAGGGAACCUGAGAGGGUGAUCCCCCACACUGGCACUGAAACACGGGCCAGACACCUACGGUUGGCAGCAGUAGGGAAUAUUGCACAAUGGGCACAAGCCUGAUGCAGCAACGCCGCGUACACAAUAAAGGCCUUCGGGUCGUAAAGUGCUUUUCGGGGAGAUGAAGAAGGACGGUAUCCCCGGAAUAAGGAUCGGCUAACUACUUGCCACCAGCCGCGGUAAAACUUAGGAUCCAAGCGUUAUCCGAAUUCACUGGGCGUAAAGCGCGUGCGGGCGGCCUGCUAAUUGGGAUGUGAAACCUCCCGGUUCACCUGGGAGAGGACUUACAAUACUACCGGGCUAGAGGGCACUAGAGGGAGGUGGAAUUCCCGGUGUAGUGGUGAAAUGCUGUAGAUUUCGGGAGGACCCCCAGUGGGGAAAGCGGCCUCUUGGCAUGCACCUGACGUUGAGAUGCGAAAGCUAGGGGAGCAACCGGGAUUAGAAACCCCGGUAUUCCUACCGGUAAACGAUGUAGGCUGGGCGUGGGUGGGGUAAAAGCCAUCCGUGCCGAAGCCAACGCGAUAAGUCUACCGCCUG
rnacentral:rRNA from 1 species